AUGAUAACCAAUUUAAAACAUGAGCACAAAGGAACUGGUAUCAACCAGUCCAUGUACUUCUUACUUGCACUAGCUGCACAGAAUUCUGACAUGGUAUCAGUAAAAGCUCCCUUCCAUCUUGAGGCCACUGAUCCUUCCACACCUGGGCAGCAGAUUGCGCCUUCCUCCCCAACGCGCAAACACGUGUUUUCCGCCUUCUCUGAAAAGCUUGAUUCGGAGAACUAUCUCUAUGGUGCCAACAGGUAG